CGGCGGAGAUCCGACAACUUCAGACCUUCACCCAGAAAUUCAAGUUGUUCUUCUCGGUGAAGGCCGUUUGUCCCUGGUUGAAUGCCACCCAGGUGUUGACAACCCAAGGGAAUCCACAGAGCGCACCAUGGCCAAGAAAGUGGCAGUGAUUGGAGCUGGAGUGAGUGGCCUGUCCUCAAUCAAGUGCUGCUUGGACGAGAACCUGGAGCCUACCUGUUUUGAGAGGAGUAGUGACUUCGGCGGACUGUGGAAGUUUGCUGUGCGUAGUUCAUCUUCCCAUCCGAGCACCCAAAAGUCCAAUCAUGUGCGGCUCCUGGUCACUUGAGGUGGCAUUAGCCUGCCUUGGUGGUCAAUACAGGGGUUCACUGCAAUAACCU
rnacentral:lncRNA from 1 species